GAUGAACGCUGGCGGCGUGCCUAAUACAUGCAAGUAGAACGCUGAAGGAGGAGCUUGCUCUUCUGGAUGAGUUGCGAACGGGUGAGUAACGCGUAGGUAACCUGCCUGGUAGCGGGGGAUAACUAUUGGAAACGAUAGCUAAUACCGCAUGACAACAGUUAUUGCAUGAUAACUGUUUAAAAGUGGCAACUGCUCCACUACCAGAUGGACCUGCGUUGUAUUAGCUAGGUGGUGAGGUAACGGCCCACCAAAGCGACGGUACAUAGCCGAGCUGAGAGGGUGGACAGCCACACUGGGACUGGGGCACGGCCCAGGACCCCUCGGGGGGGCACCAGAGGGAAUCAUCGGAAAAGGGCGGCAGUCUGGACGAGGAACGACGGGGGAGUGAAGGAGGUUUUCGGGUCGUAAAGGUCUGUUGUAAGGGAAGAACGAGUAGGAGGGUGAAACGUCCACACUGUGACGGUACCUAACCAGAAAGGGACGGCUAACUACGUG
rnacentral:rRNA from 1 species